rnacentral:ncRNA from 1 species
GAUGGUAAACUAGAGAAUGAAACCAAAGGAAUAUGAUAAAGAUCCGAAGCGAUUUUGAAGUGCAGAUCGAUCAUUUGACUUUGAUUUAGAAGUGAAAGACUAAUCGAACUAUUU